rnacentral:tRNA from 1 species
UGUGCGUAAUUUAAAAAAAAUGCCAAGCUGUGACCUUGCCCAUAGGAAACCCUCCUCGCACAUC